rnacentral:rRNA from 1 species
UACAGAGGGGGCAAGCGUUGUUCGGAAUUACUGGGCGUAAAGGGCGCGUAGGCGGCCUUCUAAGUCGAACGUGAAAUCCCCGGGCUCAACCCGGGAACUGCGUCCGAGACUGGAAGGCUCGAAUCCGGGAGAGGGAUGUGGAAUUCCAGGUGUAGCGGUGAAAUGCGUAGAUAUCUGGAGGAACAUCGGUGGCGAAGGCGGCGAUCCUGGACCG